rnacentral:rRNA from 1 species
UACGUAGGGUGCAAGCGUUAAUCGGAAUUACUGGGCGUAAAGCGUGCGCAGGCGGUUUUGUAAGCCAGAUGUGAAAUCCCCGGGCUUAACCUGGGAAUGGCAUUUGGGACUGCAAGGCUUGAGUGCGGCAGAGGAGACUGGAAUUCCUGGUGUAGCAGUGAAAUGCGUAGAUAUCAGGAGGAACACCGAUGGCGAAGGCAGGUCUCUGGGCUGACACUGACGCUCAUGCACGAAAGCGUGGG